rnacentral:lncRNA from 1 species
UUUUUUUUUGGGGGUUGGGGGUUUGAGGUUACCUGGAAAAUUUAUUGGAUUAAAUGGAAAAAUAUGUGUCCUGAAAAGGAGAAAGAAGGUUUGGGAGUUAGGAGGAUUAAUGAGUUUAAUUUGGCGUUAUUAGGGAAGUGGUGCUAGAGGUUGUAGUAGGAUCAGUUGAGCCUGUGGUUUAAGGAAUAGGUUGUGCACUAAGGUAAGGACGGUGAAAG